UCGAUCCUUGAUGGAGUCCCAUAACCACUGGAAAAUGGUUUGAGUCGCCACCCACCGUCCUAACCCUAGUCUUAGCUCUAUCGUACAUGUCCUUGAUUACUAUGAUGUAGGCUUCCGGCUUGCUCUUCACCUCCAAGCACCUCCCUUGGGACCUUGUCAUACGCCUUCUCCAAGUCGAUAAGCACCAUGUGCAGGUCCUUCUUCUUAUCCCUGAACUGCUCCACCAGCCGCCUGACAAGGUGGAUAGCUUCUGUAGUGGAGCGACCCAGCAUGAAACCGAACCGGUUCAUAGAUAUAGAUGUCAUAUCCCUCACCUCGCCUUGAUCACCCGCUCCCAGACCUUAAUGGUGUGACUUAUUAAUUUGAUACCCCUAUAGUUAUUGCAGCACUGGAUGUCCCCUUUGUUCNNN
rnacentral:lncRNA from 1 species